CCCGACUGCUAUCGGAUUGAGAUUAAGCCAUGCGAGUCAACCCGAAAGGGUGGCAUACGGCUCAGUAACACGUAGUCAACUUACCCUGAGGACGGGGAUAACCUCGGGAAACUGAGGAUAAACCCCGAUAAGCUAUAAUGCCUGGAAUGGAUUAUAGCUGAAAUCUACAUGGCCUCAGGAUAGGACUGCGGCCGAUCAGGCUGUUGGCGGGGUAAUGGCCCACCAAACCUAUAACCGGUACGGGCUCUGAGAGGAGGAGCCCGGAGAUGGGCACUGAGACAAGGGCCCAGGUCCUAUGGGGCGCAGCAGGCGCGAAACCUUCGCAAUGGGCGAAAGCCCGACGAGGUUAAUCCGAGUGGCUCCUGCUAAAGGAGUCUUUUGCCAGCUGUAAGGAGGCUGGUGAAUAAAGGGUGGGCAAGUCUGGUGUCAGCCGCCGCGGUAAUACCAGCACCCUGAGUGGUCGGGGCGAUUAUUUGGCCUAAAGCAUCCGUAGUCGGUAUAACAAGUCCUCUGUUAAAUCCACCUGCUUAACAGGUGGGCCGCGGAGGAUACUGUUAUACUAGGAGGCGGGAGAGGCGAGGGGUAUUCCAUGGGUAAGGGUAAAAUCUACUGAUCCGUGGAGGACCACCAGUGGCGAAGGCGUCUCGCUAGAACGCGCUCGACGAUGAGGGAUGAAAGCUGGGGGAGCAAACCGGAUUAGAUACCCGGGUAGUCCCAGCUGUAAACGAUGUAGGCUCGAUGAUGGAUUAGCUCAGUGCUAGUCCAGUGUCGCAGGGAAGCCGUUAAGCCUACCGCCUGGGAAGUACGGCCGCAAGGCUGAAACUUAAAGGAAUUGGCGGGGGAGCACCACAAGGGGUGAAGCCUGCGGUUCAAUUGGAGUCAACGCCGGGAACCUCACCAGGAGUGACAGCAGUAUGAAGGUCGGGCUGAAGACCUUACCAGACGAGCUGAGAGGAGGUGCAUGGCCGUCGCCAGCUCGUGCCGUGAGGUGUCCUGUUAAGUCAGGUAACGAGCGAGACCCCUGUCCCUAAUUGCUACCAUGACUCUUAGGAGUUGUGGAGGGAAUUAGGGAGACUGCCGUUGUUAAAACGGAGGAAGGGAGGGGCUACGGCAGGUCAGUAUGCCCCGAAACUCUUGGGCCACACGCGGGCUGCAAUGGUAGGGACAAUGGGUUUCAGGCUCGAAAGAGUGAGACAAUCCCUAAACCCUACCUCAGUUAUGAUUGAGGGCUGGAACUCGCCCUCAUGAAUCUGGAAUCCCUAGUAAUYGCGCGUCAUCAUCGCGCGGUGAAUACGUCCCUGCUCCUU
rnacentral:rRNA from 2 species